rnacentral:tRNA from 1 species
GCCCGGAUGGCGGAAUUGGUAGACGCGCUGGUCUCAAACACCAGUGGCAGCAAUGCCGUGCCGGUUCGAUCCCGGCUCCGGGCA